GUACAAUUUUGUUGACUUAUCUGGCAUUUUUUCGGCCGUGUGGAACCAGCACAUCUACAUGCGAAUCUCCAGGCUAUGGUACCAGUGGGGUGGCUUCGAUGAUGGCCCUAUCAAGAGUAUACAUGUGCUCUUCUAUAGGGAAAUCAUGCCAACAAGAUGGUGCCUAAUGAGGUCAUAGACAUGUUUGUGGACACUUUGCAUGAGAGAAAUUUAUACAAGUGUGCCAGGAUCCAUGUGAGGUUCCCUGUAACAAUUCUGAGGGCAGUGGAAGGCACGGAUACGUUAUGGUUCACUAGAUCAACAAUUGUCCAUCACCUUGAGGGUGUUCCAUUUGGUCAUGUCUGUUAACAUGCUUAGUUGCUUCUUCUUUAUUAUGUUAAUGCUCCAAUAACUUUCUCAUAGUAUAUCACUUUUGUUAUUAACCAUCGUAUUGAAUGGCUGCGCUUUUGAUUUCGAGCUUCCUGUCGAGCGACUUUUUUUAAUCUAAU
rnacentral:rRNA from 1 species